UGUCCUGCAUGAAGUUGUUGUC
rnacentral:siRNA from 1 species